AAACAACAACUCGGAUUAAACUCAUCAAUGCCCGGGAGACGUCAGUUUCGUUUCUUCAUGAACGAUAAACGUUCGUAACCCCACCAUCUACAAAUUUCUCUUCUGUACUGCACAUUUUUAUUCCAAAGUGAGCUGUGAUCCACGAAGCCCUUUCCCUAUAAUUGCGUACGUGUGAAAGUAGAGUGCUUCAGUGAUGAUAGCGAAGGAAGAAUUGGGAAAGAAUCUAAUACCCGCCACUCAUCAAUGUUGGAGCGUGAAAGAUAAUACACACCCUCAGAAAGUUAAGGAUUGCCGAAUAAUUGCACCAGGGAUGUAGAGAGAGAGAGAGAGGAGAAACAAAGUGAAAGAGAGCUUAUUUCCACAACACCUUUGGCUUUUUUCGUAGUCGGAACGUGAGACAUGAAAGACACGCUCGUUAAGACCAGUAUUGAAAAACUGCACCGGGCGGGAGGGGAGAAAAGAGAAAGAAGGUUAAACAAUGCUUAUCUUCCCAAAACUUUUCACAAUGAUUGUCGUUUGACUUUUCUCUCCUCCUGUUCUCUAUAUAAUGCAAACUCAUCAUCCUAUUAGCUUGCAAGCACUCUAACAGCAGAAUUUCCAACAGACAUUGAGGCACAAGGGGCGAAGCCGCAAGACCCGGCGAGCGAGGGCAGCGGGCAUCGAGAGGAGUUCGUACCAAAGGAGGAGUCAAAUCAUACUCACGUGACUCGCUGAAAUGGUGAGGUGAUCACUAAGAGCAGAUAUCCUGGGGAACCAGAGGGCUAACAAUUUUUACGAUUCCAGGUUCCACUCCAUCUUAAUUGUGCGGGUGUAUGACGCAAUUUCGCCCUACAUUGGAUGUCCGUGACGAAGUUGAGAAUGUAAAGUUCAAACUGAGGUCCGCUUGUAACCACUUGAAGAAGCAAUUUUUUAUCCACAGAGACUCAUGAAAAUUACUACCAAGUGACAGACCAAUGUUUAAUGAAAGCAAAAUAAACUUUAUACAAAUGGAAUUAACAAAUGCACAAUGAAGUCAAAACAAAUUCAAUAAAUACUCUAUUGGGAUGUGGCU